rnacentral:piRNA from 1 species
UUGGUCUGCAAAUACUGAACCAUCCUUGCA